GCCGGGCAGGGUGACGCACACCUGUCAUCCCAGCCUCUUGGGAGGCUGAGGCAGGCGGAUCACCCUUGGAGGCCGGCCUCAGCCACUUAGUGAGACCCUGUCUCAA
rnacentral:sRNA from 1 species